AAAUUAGAAAUGGAGGAUGUUACUGUUCACUAACUGGAUAUAGGCAUAAAUGCCAUUGAAAAACAGUACUAAAUGGAAUGAACUUUGAUUCAGGAGAUUUUGGAGAAAUGCUAUAUGAGCCUUUAGUUUUAUGGGCAAAAUGGAACUUUCAUGUCAAGCUUAGCAUGAUCUCCAAGUUUGGCAUGAAACAAAUGGCAUUUGAAGUGUUAAAUGGAAAUUCAAAGUUAAAUGGAGGAUUUUGGUACUGUUCUGUCGAGAUUGAAGCCAUUCAGUGCAAUUUCAAUUCAGUAAAAAGCAAGAAUUGGCAGCUAGAUUCAGGACCAACUUUCGAAGGGAAAAGGAGGGAUUUGGCUUUUGACAUGAAUAAGAGAAAUGUAGAGAAAUAGGUUCUCUACAACUUCUAUAAAGGAAGUUUUGAGAGUUUAAGUGAAAAAAAUGGAGUAAACACAAUCUGAACCUUCAGCUUAGAAAAAUUUACAGUUCUGUCAAUACUGGAGGAUGAACAGUAACAGUUGGUUUUGGAAGCAAAUUUCGAACCCUUAGAUUCAAAAUCAGCAGAAACUCCAAAUGUAUCAAAGGUAGUCACAAACAUUUCCUACAACUUUGUUUAAGGGCUCUAAGCAAGCCUCUGUUGAAUUUUAGCCACGAAAAUUGACCUAAAGAUAAUCUGUCAAAGGCUUAGCUGUUGAAAGGGGGAAAAGUA
rnacentral:lncRNA from 1 species